AACGAACGCUGGCGGCAUGCCUAACACAUGCAAGUCGAACGAGACCUUCGUGUCUAGUGGCGCACGGGUGGGUAACGCGUGGGAACCUGCCCUUAGGUUCGGAAUAACUUCCCGAAAGGGGUGCUAAUACCGGAUAAUGUCUUCGGACCAAAGAUUUAUCGCCUUUGGAUGGGCCCGCGUUGGAUUAGGCAGUUGGUAGGGUAAAAGCCUACGAAGGCGACGAUCCAUAGCUGGUCUGAGAGGAUGACCAGCCACACUGGGACUGAGACACGGCCCAGACUCCUACGGGAGGAAGGAGUGGGGAAUAUUGGACGAUGGGCGGAAGGCUGAUCCAGCAAUGCCGCGUGAGUGAUGAAGGCCUUAGGGUUGUAAAGCUCUUUUACCCGGGAUGAUAAUGACAGUACCGGGAGAAUAAGCACCGGCUAACUCCGUG
rnacentral:rRNA from 1 species